AGCAGAAACGUCGCAAGCUAGGUC
rnacentral:siRNA from 1 species